rnacentral:rRNA from 1 species
CUCCUGGGAAACGGGUGGUAAUGCCGGAUGCUCCAGUUGAUCGCAUGGUCUUCUGGGAAAGCUUUCGCGGUAUGGGAUGGGGUCGCGUCCUAUCAGCUUGACGGCGGGGUAACGGCCCACCGUGGCUUCGACGGGUAGCCGGCCUGAGAGGGCGACCGGCCACAUUGGGACUGAGAUACGGCCCAGACUCCUACGGGAGGCAGCAGUGGGGAAUAUUGCACAAUGGGCGCAAGCCUGAUGCAGCGACGCCGCGUGAGGGAUGGAGGCCUUCGGGUUGUAAACCUCUUUUAUCGGGGAGCAAGCGAGAGUGAGUUUACCCGUUGAAUAAGCACCGGCUAACUACGUGCCAGCAGCCGCGGUAAUACGUAGGGUGCAAGCGUUAUCCGGAAUUAUUGGGCGUAAAGGGCUCGUAGGCGGUUCGUCGCGUCCGGUGUGAAAGUCCAUCGCUUAACGGUGGAUCCGCGCCGGGUACGGGCGGGCUUGAGUGCGGUAGGGGAGACUGGAAUUCCCGGUGUAACGGUGGAAUGUGUAGAUAUCGGAAAAAA